AAGUCGUAACAAGGUUUCCGUAGGUGAACCUGCGGAAGGAUCAUUACCAAAAUCCAAUAUAAACCAAACCGUGAACUCUUGUGUCCGCUGGUACCUGGUUGUGUAAAAAGUCAGUGACUGGGCUCGUGAGUGGUGGGGAGCCAAUCUUAAAGGUCACUAACAUGCGUCGAAAGGCGCGCACAGCUGUACCGGUGUGUUUCCCCCGCUCGUUAUAUCAUUCAUUUACACCUUGUACCUAUUACUCGAACUGACCUGUCCUUACAGCUGCUCUUUACUGGGCGCAGUAAUGACUUUUAUACGUAACUACGAACAACUCUUAACAACGGAUAUCUUGGCUCUC
rnacentral:misc_RNA from 1 species